ACUUCCUGUUCUUCGUCUCUAGCGUUUUCAGACACACUGUUCAUAGUUCCUUCACCGCUGGGGACCGAGGCAGGCACAGGGGGUAGGUUAGAAAAAAUUGUCAAUUCUACAGACUGAUUUUUUGGACUCUGAAAAGAAUUCGGAUUCCAAGAAUUCGGAAGCUGGAUGGGUUCUGGAAAACAAUGACUGACAAUAUUGACAGAAUCGCUGCUCUCUUCUUCCACAAACAAUGGCGCAGCGUCAGACAUAUAUAAAGUUUGUUCCGACUCUAAAAUAGUUUUCAAUUCAACAUAUUUGCCUUUCAUUGCAAUCUCUUUUGCCAGAAGUAUAUGUUCCAAUGCUGUAUCAGUGUCCCCCUUUAAAUGAUAUAAUCUAGAUUUAGCUAUUGAAAAGUACAUUUUUAAACGAAGUCCAGUUUCGGAAGAUUGAUAUUUUUUCAAAAGUCUUUCCGAUUCUGUUUUUACAUUGUUAGUACAGUUAAAAUGUUUGAUAAAACGACAGUGCAUUCCCAAUCCCAAAAAACAACACAACAGACGAAAUGUAAACUUCAUUGCCCAAACUUCCCUGCGGUCGUCCGGUUCAUUUUCUAAGAUCUGCAUUGCCAUUCUAUAGUGAUCGUAAAUUGCAUUUGUUGUAAUCUGAGGAAAAUGUUCGUACCAAACACGAAGAAAAAGAACGAUUUUAUACAGCAGGUCAACAGUUUCCAAACAAGCAGAAACUCUGUGUGCGCAGACCAAAGCCUCUUUGACCAGUUCUUCGCCCUCCCCUUUUUUGUUAGCGAAUGACAAGAAAACGGCCCUUCUACCGUAAAGCAUGCAUCGAGACAGAUCCGGACAUGACGUCAUGGCUCCAAAGCGUUCCAUGUCAUGAAAGACUUGGUCAUCUGGACUGAUCUCAAUAGUUUUAUUAACCAGAGUGUCCAUUGUGAGGGCUAAAAGCACAACAUAUUUAUCACACAAGACAGUAAACUUUGUUGAUGAGGGAUGUGUGUCUGCUAUCUUUUGCCUAAAAUGGACAGAAAGUUUUUUGAAAAAAUUAAAAGGAUCUUUGAA
rnacentral:sRNA from 1 species